rnacentral:rRNA from 1 species
CACGCAGGCGGUCUGUUAAGUCAGAUGUGAAAUCCCCGGGCUCAACCUGGGAACUGCAUUUGAAACUGGCAGGCUUGAGUCUCGUAGAGGGGGGUAGAAUUCCAGGUGUAGCGGUGAAAUGCGUAGAGAUCUGGAGGAAUACCGGUGGCGAAGGCGGCCCCCUGGACGAAGACUGACGCUCAGGUGCGAAAGCGUGGGGAGCAAACAGGAUUAGAUACCCUGGUAGUCCACGCCGUAAACGAUGUCGACUUGGAGGUUGUGCCCUUGAGGCGUGGCUUCCGGAGCUAACGCGUUAAGUCGACCGCCUGGGGAGUACGGCCGCAAGGUUAAAACUCAAAUGAAUUGACGGGGGCCCGCACAAGCGGUGGAGCAUGUGGUUUAAUUCGAUGC